GACGAACGCUGGCGGCGUGCCUAAUACAUGCAAGUAGAACGCAGUUGCGAACGGGUGAGUAACGCGUAGGUAACUGCCUCAUAGCGGGGGAUAACUAUUGGAAACGAUAGCUAAUACCGCAUACUGUGAGAUGGACCUGCGUUGUAUUAGCUAGUUGGUGAGGUAAAGGCUCACCAAGGCGACGAUACAUAGCCGACCUGAGAGGGUGUGCGGCACAAGUGGGCCUGGGACACGGCCAAGACUCCUGCGGGAGGCAGCAGGAGGGAUGCUGGGGAAAGGGAGGGAGGUCUGACGGAGCAACGCGGCGGGAGUGAGGAGGGUUUUAGGACCGUAAAGCUCUGUUGUUAGAGAAGCGGUAACUAACCAGAAAGGGACGGCUAACUACGGGCCAGCAGCCGCGGUAAUAC
rnacentral:rRNA from 1 species